rnacentral:rRNA from 1 species
GAUGUCGACUAGCCGUUGGGAUCCUUGAGAUCUUAGUGGCGCAGCUAACGCAUUAAGUCGACCGCCUGGGGAGUACGGCCGCAAGGUUAAAACUCAAAAUGAAUUGACGGGGGCCCGCACAAGCGGUGGAGCAUGUGGUUUAAUUCGAAGCAACGCGAAGAGCCUUAUCAGGCCUUGACAUGCAGAGAACUCUUCCAGAGAUGGAUUGGUGCCUUCGGGAACUCUGACACAGGUGCUGCAUAUGCUGUCGUCAGCUCGUGUCUAGAGAUGUGGGGUUAAGUCCCGUAACGAGCGCAUCCCUUGUCCUUAGUUACCAGCACGUUAAGGUGGGCACUCUAAGGAGACUCCCGGUGACAAACCGGAGGAAGGUGGGGAUGACGUCAAGUCAUCUUUUCCCUCUCUGCCUGGGCUACACACGUGCUACAAUGGUCGGUACAAAGGGUUGCCAAGCCGCGAGGUGGAGCUAAUCCCAUAAAACCGAUCGUAGUCCGGAUCGCAGUCUGCAACUCGACUGCGUGAAGUCGGAAUCGCUAGUAAUCGUGAAUCAGAAUGUCACGGUGAAUACGUUGCCGGGCCUUGUACACACCGCCCGUCACACCAUGGGAGUGGGUUGCUCCAGAAGUAGCUAGUCUAACCUUCGGGGGGACG